AGAGUUUGAUCAUGGCUCAGAAUCAACGCUGGCGGCGUGCCUAACACAUGCAAGUCGAACGCGAAAGUGGAGCAAUCCAUGAGUAGAGUGGCAAACGGGUGAGUAACACGUGGGUGACCUGCCUUCGAGCGGGGGAUAACGUCCCGAAAGGGACGCUAAUACCGCAUAACAUCCUGCCUUUUAAGAGGUGGAGAUCAAAGCCGGGGAUUCGCAAGAACCUGGCACUUGAAGAGGGGCCCGCGCCUGAUUAGCUAGUUGGUGGGGUAAUGGCCUACCAAGGCAACGAUCAGUAUCCGGCCUGAGAGGGCGGACGGACACACUGGGACUGAGACACGGCCCAGACUCCUACGGGAGGCAGCAGUGGGGAAUUGUUCGCAAUGGGCGCAAGCCUGACGACGCAACGCCGCGUGGAGGAUGAAGACCUUCGGGUCGUAAACUCCUUUCGAUCGAGACGAAUGUUUUUCGGGUGAACAAUCCGGAAAAGUGACGGUACCGAGAGAAGAAGCCCCGGCUAACUCUGUGCCAGCAGCCGCGGUAAUACAGGGGGGGCAAGCGUUGUUCGGAAUUACUGGGCGUAAAGGGCUCGUAGGUGGCCAACUAAGUCAGACGUGAAAUCCCUCAGCUUAACUGGGGAACUGCGUCUGAUACUGGAUGGCUUGAGUUUGGGAGAGGGAUGCGGAAUUCCAGGUGUAGCGGUGAAAUGCGUAGAUAUCUGGAGGAACACCGGUGGCGAAGGCGGCAUCCUGGACCAACACUGACACUGAGGAGCGAAAGCCAGGGGAGCAAACGGGAUUAGAUACCCUAGUAGUCC
rnacentral:rRNA from 1 species